rnacentral:lncRNA from 1 species
CACCUGGUGAGGACACGGGGCAGGAGUGGCACCUGGUGAGGACACGGGGCAGGAUGGCACCCAGUGAGGACACAGACAGGAGUGGCCCUUGGCAAGGACACUGGGCAGGAUGGCACCUGGGUCCCUGCUGGAGGCUCGGGGUGAGUGAGGGACAGAAGGACAGCCAGGACAGCCAGGACCAUCUCCCGAGGACAGGAUGGACACUGCAGCUGGACAGAGGGACAGAAGGACAGCCAGGACCAUCUCCCAAGGACAGGACAGACAGUGCUGGGCUGCACAUCCCUGCAGGAGCUGAGCUCCUCCCCGCGGCACUGACAGCACUCAGGAGCAAUUUCUGCUGGACUUUGGGAAUUUGGGAAUUUUCCUUGUGGAUCCUGGCCAUGGAUGGACGCUGAAGAGCUCCUGGCUCAAGCAGGAGCUCAGUGCUUUUCUCUGGCAAGGACCAAGCCCUUCCCUGCUUUCCAAUGGAUAUUUUUGGUUUUUAUUUUUGCUGGUUUUGGGGGUUUGGGUGUUUCCUGAGGCUGCUGGAGCUGCAGUGGAUCCAUGGUGGGACUGGAGCCUUUGAGAAGCAGGAGCUGAGCUGGGCCUGGGGCUCCAGACUGGCUCACCCUGGGCUGGGGGGCUCAGGAGGGUCCUGGUGCCACAGCUGGAGCAUCCCAGAGGAUCCCAGGGUGGGAAUGGGGGGAAGCCAAACCCAGCAUGGGGAGUGUCACCCUCAGAGACAAUUAAACUGCAUUUAAUUAAUUUAAUAAACCCCAUUGGCUCUGUGAGUGCUGGAUGUUG